GAUGAAGAACGCAGCGAAAUGCGAUAAGUAAUGUGAAUUGCAGAAUUCAGUGAAUCAUCGAAUCUUUGAACGCACAUUGCGCCCCCUGGUAUUCCGGGGGGCAUGCCUGUUCGAGCGUCAUUUCACCACUCAAGCCUGGCUUGGUGUUGGGCGACGUCCCCUUUGGGGACGCGCCUCGAAACGCUCGGCGGCGUGGCACCGGCUUUAAGCGUAGCAGAAUCUUUCGCUUUGGAAGUCGGGGCCCCGUCUGCCGGAAGACCUACUCGCAAGGUUGACCUCGGAUCAGGCAGGGAUACCCGCUGAACUUAAGCAUAUCAAUAAGCGGAGGA
rnacentral:misc_RNA from 1 species